GGGUGAGUAACACGUGGAUAACCUACCUAUAAGACUGGGAUAACUUCGGGAAACCGGAGCUAAUACCGGAUAAUAUAUUGAACCGCAUGGUUCAAUAGUGAAAGACGGUUUUGCUGUCACUUAUGGAUGGAUCCGCGCCGCAUUAGCUAGUUGGUAAGGUAACGGCUUACCGAGGCAACGAUGCGUAGCCGACCUGAGAGGGUGAUCGGCCACACUGGAACUGAGACACGGUCCAG
rnacentral:rRNA from 1 species